AUGUCUCUGAAAUGGCUCUCACUCCUGCUGCUGCUACAGCUGACUGUGCUACUUUAGCUCUGGCAGGUGUGGAAAGGUGCUGGUGUGGCCAAUGGAAUAUAGUCACUGGAUUAACAUGAAGAUAAUUCUGGAGGAACUUGUCAGCAGGGGUCAUGAGGUGACGGUUCUGACAUCGCCAGCUGCCGUUGUUGUUGAUGUCAACAAAUCAUCUACUCUCAAAUUUGAGAUGUUCCCUACAUCGAUAACUAAAGAUUACUUUGAUAAUUUUGUCAAGCAGUUUAUCGAGAAAUGGAGACAUGUUGCAAAAGAUUCACUUUGGACACAUUUUUUCAAAAUUCAAAAUUUCUUUUGGAAAUUCUCUGACAUUGCACUGAAGCUCUGUAAAGAUGCUACAUUGAACAAGAAACUUAUGACAAAGCUACAAGAAUCAAGGUUUGAUGUUGUUCUUGCAGAUCCCGUUAUACCCUGUGGUGAGCUGGUGGCUGAGAUACUCAACAUACCGCUGGUGUACAGCCUGCGCUUCUCUCCUGGUUAUUCAAUUGAAAAACUCGGUGGAAAGCUUCCACUCCCACCAUCCUAUGUACCUGUUGUCAUGUCAGAACUUAGUGAUCACAUGACAUUCACGGAGAGGGUUAAAAAUAUGUUAUACGUAGUUUUUUUGGACUCCUGUUUCCAGAUGUUUAAUGAGAAGAAGUGGAAUCAAUUUUACAGUGAAGCACUAGGAAGGCCCACUACAUUAUUUGAGACAAUGGGGAAAGCUGACAUGUGGCUCAUUCGAAAUUAUUGGGAUUUUGAUUUUCCCCGCCCACUGCUACCAAAUUUUGAAUUUAUUGGAGGCUUCCAUUGCAAACCUGCCAAACCCCUACCUAAGGAAAUGGAAGAGUUUGUCCAGAGUGCUGGAGAACAUGGUAUUGUGCUCUUUACUCUGGGGUCAAUGAUCAGUAACAUGACAGAAGAAAGAGCCAAUACGAUUGCAUCCGCCUUUGCCCAGAUUCCCCAAAAGGUGCUGUGGAAAUACGAAGGCAAGAAACCUGAUACCUUAGGACCCAAUACUCGGCUGUAUAAGUGGAUCCCCCAAAAUGACCUUCUUGGUCAUCCCCAAACCAAAGCUUUCGUAACUCAUGGUGGCGCCAAUGGCAUUUUUGAGGCCAUCUACCACGGGGUCCCUAUGGUGGGCAUUCCCCUGUUUGCUGAUCAGCCUGAUAACAUCGCUCACAUGACAGCCAAGGGAGCAGCUGUAAGAUUGGACUUGGACACAAUGUCAAGAACAGAUCUGCUCAAUGCCUUGAAGCAAGUCAUUAACAACCCUUCCUACAAGGAAAACGUGAUGUGGUUAUCAACCAUUCAACAUGAUCAGCCUGUGAAGCCCCUGGACCGGGCGGUCUUCUGGAUCGAGUUUGUCAUGCGCCACAAAGGAGCCAAGCACCUGCGGCCAGCAGCCCACGACCUCACCUGGUACCAGUACCACUCUCUGGAUGUCAUUGGGUUCCUGCUGGCCUGUGUGGCAAUGGCUGCAUUUGCCCUCACAAGGGGUUGUCUUUUUUGUUGCCGGAAGUUGGCUAACGCAGGAGAGAAGGCAAAAAGGCAGUAGCUGUGUCUGAGGCCGGAAGCGGGUAUGGCCCAGUAGAUAGAACUCUUCCGUUUAUUCCAGCAGGAAGGAGGUAUGACAAGGUUCCCAUCCUCCUGUGACAAAAUGACUUCUCAUAAUUUAACAUCUCAGGGCAAGACUUGUGUACCCAGGACCUUCUGCCUGUUUCAGAGUUAGACCUAGGUCACGCCAAGAGGACACCUAGUGAAAAAAUCCGUCAAAAUAGAAUUACGUGGGUAUACAUUGAAAGUUAUUAUUUUAAUUCAAUAGUUAUAUCAAAAGACAUGAUUGAAUUUAACUGUGUUUCACACGGUGUGCAUAGACACAAGAACAAUAACAAGUACACCCAGAGUACCCACAUGUUGUCAAUAUUCAGAAUUUUUAACUUCAUUCGGGUGCAGAAUUUUACAGUUUUAUCUUGCCAGAGAAUGUGUGCAAAAAUUGGAAUUAUGUAAGAAGAGUUACCCUUUCCUUUUUUUGUGAGACCUCUAAAACUUCUUGGUGUUUCCUCUGCAUCCAGCCUCAGCAUCACUUCCUAUCUAAAACCCUGGCAAGCCAGUUACCAUCAUCCACUUCAACGUAUUUCCCUGGGAAAUUUUGGAGAAUUCAAAAUAUAGGAACUGCUAUUAAAAAAAUAGAUCUAAAAAAAUAAAUUAAAAAAUAGAUCUAGGUGUGAAAAUCUUUGAAUUCAUACCCUAAUUCUCAUUUUCUUAUUAUCUUUAAAAAUAUUCACCUGAUGACUUCCACUCCCAUAUUCAGCCUCUGGUAGUUGACUUAAGUUCUCCACUACAUAUUAACGUACUAAAUAACCUGUACUCCAAAGGGACUUAGUUUUCAUUUUCUACAAAUGUACCUGGAUCUGUCAAUCUAUAUCAGUUAAUUACUUGCAGAUAUGUUGUGAAAUAAAAUGUAUUUGUUGAA